GGCAACUUGGCCGAGUGGUCUAAGGCGACGCACUCAAGGAUUUGAUUGUCCACAAUCUAAUGAUAUAUCCUUCCCCUUCUUCAGAAGGGGAGAAAAGCAUUGCGUUCUCGAGAGGGGCGUGAGUUCGAAUCUCACAGUUGUCA